CCCGUCCACGUGAUGGCAGCGUGGGGAGCCGAACCUGCAGUCAAAGAGCUGCGCAAUUCCAUUCUCUCGGCGCUCAAACUUAGUUAGGCAUGGAAACCUCCUGCUGCACGGUCGAUCGACAAAGAUAUAAGGAGAGACUGCGGUCGCCGCGGGGGUAAUCUGAAAUUCCGGCAUCGUCUGUGAAACGCGGCCGUCACGUUUUUCCCUACUGCCUCCACCGGCUCCGACAGAAACGCGCGAGAGGAGUGGCUCCGCAGGAGGCACCUUUGCAGUCACCAGCACCGAAACGUGACUGCAGCUUUGCAAAUGAAUCACCGGCGCGUCGCCGCAACUGAAGGUCACAAACAUGCACUUCAUGUAGUUUAGUUAUUUAAGGUAGCGUCGCAGCGGAUUGUGGCCGUCUUCUUCCGAAAGCUAACGGAUGAUGUUUUAUUUUUGGUCAUACCGAAGCUAUGUACCGAGAGAAAAUAUUCUCCAAGUAAGAUCAAUAACAAACAAAGCAAUAACAAUGAUAAUAAAGGAAAAGAACAUCUUAUCAGAAGUCCGUGACACGUGAGUUUGUUGACAUGCCGAGAGGCAGGAAGUUACAGUGGUAGGCGUAGCUGAGUUAAAAGUGGCACUACACGUGAAUUAAAGCUCCGUCCUGCUCCCCAGUUCACUUCACACAAAGCAGCACAAACAACCCAUCUGUGGGGAUUUCGGUACAAGAUAUAUAAUAUAAUGUAUAACCAGUAACUCAAUUCCAGAAGUUGCAUAAAGUUUGAAGCUGGCUUUGUAUUGUAUAUUGUGCUUCGACUCCAAGUGACUAAACGAAAAGUGCAGUACUUUUGAUUACUACAUUAAAACAUGCGACCAUA